GGUCCUUUCCAGCUGAUCCAAGAUGUCGUCGUCCCUUGAGUCCAUGGCGCGGUACAUCAGUCCGGUGAACCCGGCGGUGUACCCACACCUCACCCUGGUCCUGCUGGGCAUAGGCAUCUUCUUCAUGGCAUGGUUCUUUGUUUACGAGGUGACGUCGAACAAGUACACCCGUGACCUGUACAAGGAGCUUCUGGUCUCGCUGGUGGCCUCCCUGUUCAUGGGAUUCGGAGUCUUGUUCCUCUUACUCUGGGUCGGCAUUUAUGUAUAGCAGUAACCACUAGAGAUGCAGCUAUCAUAUGGAGAAGCAACAUUCCAGGGAAAACUGCAACAUGGAGAGGGACACCAACAUCUCUGCAUCGUUCUCAACACUGUGAUCAGAGACUUCAAAUCGGACGCUAUGAUAAAACUGAUGACCUAAUAAUCUGGAAGAAUGUAACAAAUGGAAGCAGCAUUUGUACAUUGUCACAGAAAGCAUCCUAUUCAUAGCAGACACUUGUAAUAGCAAUUUCAAAAUGUGUACAAGACACGUGUAGAAGACAAAAAAAAUACAAGUGACUUGGCAUGAUUUUUUAUUAUGUCUUUAUUGAUGAAUAAAUAGGUUUAUUUGUACAAACGUUA